UCUGUCAGCAACCAGUAUGGGAAUAAAAGGAUCUUAUCUGAUCUCAGGAGCUAAGUAGGGUCAGGUCCAGUCAGUACUUGGAUAGGAGACUGGCUGGGAACACCAGGUGCUGUAGGUU
rfam:Gavia stellata contig47100, whole genome shotgun sequence.